CCGGGGCUCCCGCCGCCUCCCGCCCGUUCUCCUCCUCACGCCCCGGGGCAGGAUCCCGCAGCCCUGCCCUCCUCACCCCCCGGCUCUCUCGUCCCCCUUGCCCGUUUCCCCUCACGCCCCGGGCCUCUCGUCCAUCUACCCGCCCGCUCCGCCUCGCGCCCAGGAGCUCUCGUCUCGCUGCCCGCCUGGUUCCCCUCACGCCCCGGGGCUCCCGGAGCUCUCGUCCCGCUGCUCGCCUGGUUCUCCUCACGCCCCGGGGCUCCCGCAGCCCUGCCCUCCUCACGCCCCGGGGCUCUCGUCCCCCAGCCCGUUCCCCCUCACGCCCCGGGGUGUCCCGGGGCGCUCCCGGGGUCCCUCAGCCCUCCCCGGGCGCGGGCGGGCGGCUGCGGCCGGAGCGAUAACGGGGGAUUUGUGAGGGAGGCACGAGGGAACCGCCGCGGGGCUGAGGGCACAGCGAGGGGCCGCGGGGGAACGUGAGGGAGCACAGCCGAGAACGGAGGGUCUGGAGCGUCUCCCCGAUGAGGAGGGACCGCGGGAGCUGGGCCUGGUUAUUCUGGAGAAGAGGAGGCUGAGCAGGUCUCGUUAGCGCACAUUAAAUAUAAUAUCUCCAAGGUGGGCGCCGGAGGAUGGUGCCAGACUCUCUUCCAGCGGUGCCCAGCGACAGGAGGAGGAGCAAAGGCCACGCCAGAAGUUCCACCUGAACAGGAGGAAGAAGUUCUUUACAUGGAGGGGGGUGGCCGAACACUGGAACAGGUGCCCAGGGAGGGUGUGGAAUCUCCCUCUCCAGAGACAUUCCAAACCCGCUCGGAUGCAGUCAAGGCUCCUGCUCCAGGUGCCCCUGCCUUGGCAGGAGUGGGUGAUAUCCAGAGAUCCCUUCCCACCCUAAUGAACAUCCCCCCUCAUGCCGAGCUCCAGGGCCUGCCCAGCCUAAACCUCUUUAAGAGUGUAAAUAUUAUUUACAGCUCACCUGUGCUAACACGCAGCUGAUAUUGGGCUUUUUGUGACUUCCAGGUGUGUCGGCAGCUCCUGUGAGCAAUACCUGGGCACCCGGAGUUUGAGGAGGUUUGCUGUUGAACCUGACAUUCUUCUGACCUCUGUGGUGUUCCUUCUUGGCUGCCAUGUGGGCUCACACACGCCCCUAGGAACGUGUUGGGUGGUUCCCAGACACAGGUGGGAGAUUUUUAGGUCAUUUGGUCUAAACGAGACUCACCCUGUGUAGCCGGUGAUUUAACUACCCCAGUGCAACACAGGGAAACAUUUGAAGGACGUUUACAAACAAAACAAAAAAAAAAAGCAGCGUGUGGUGAGGGCUGUUGUUGAGGGAAAAGCCCUCAGCCUGUCUGUCUGUCUGUCUGUCUGUCUGCUGGAAUCUGAGCUUUUGAAGCUGCAGCUGGGCCUGUGAACCCCUCACGUGUCCAGCGUCUGGAGGGACAUCUGGGUGUCAUCGGAGGGGAAGGAGAGGCAGACAAGCUUUGUGAUGGGACUAUAGUUCCAGGAAGCCUGGAGGAAAAACAUGGAAUCUGUUUCAUGUGCUGCCAGAGUGUUGUUUGCAUGUUUUCCUCAAAGUUCAGGGGUCCCAUUCUGGAUGAGAUGUGAGAGCCAAUGCCCUUAUGGUCAGACCUCAGGGAAUGUGGAGAUGAUCCAUCAGCCCCAGAGGUGUUAACUC